rnacentral:rRNA from 1 species
AUGGCUGCCACGGCCGCGGCCAUCGCCGUGGCGCCCAUCCACCGGCGUCGCCCUCCCCUAUUUAGCCGGCGCCUCUCUCUCCCCGGUGCGAACCCUAGCUACCCUAAGUCACUCCCCCCUCUUUUUCUCGAUCUGGAUUGGGAAAUCCCCCUCGCGCCCGACGCCUUGAACCGUCGUUGUUCGUCCUCGUCGUGGUCACCUCGUCGCCCUCGCCAUGGCCGACCUCGUCCUCGUGCCCACCGCGCUCCCUGCCGCCUGAGGCCUCGUCCUUCUACUUCGUCGCUGUCCCCUGCUUCAUCUACAUCGACGGGAUCGAGCUCGUCCUCGUCUUUGGCACCGUCUCUUCUCCGAGGAACACCGCCAUCGUCCUGCUGCUCCUAA